GAAGCCUGAUGCAGCAACGCCGCGUGAGGGAUGACGGCCUUCGGGUUGUAAACCUCUUUUAGCAGGGAAGAAGCGAAAGUGACGGUACCUGCAGAAAAAGCGCCGGCUAACUACGUGCCAGCAGCCGCGGUAAUACGUAGGGCGCAAGCGUUAUCCGGAAUUAUUGGGCGUAAAGAGCUCGUAGGCGGUUUGUCGCGUCUGCUGUGAAAUCCCGAGGCUCAACCUCGGGCCUGCAGUGGGUACGGGCAGACUAGAGUGCGGUAGGGGAGAUUGGAAUUCCUGGUGUAGCGGUGGAAUGCGCAGAUAUCAGGAGGAACACCGAUGGCGAAGGCAGAUCUCUGGGCCGUAACUGACGCUGAGGAGCGAAAGGGUGGGGAGCAAACAGGCUUAGAUACCCUGGUAGUCCACCCCGUAAACGUUGGGAACUAGUUGUGGGGUCCAUUCCACGGAUUCCGUGACGCAGCUAACGCAUUAAGUUCCCCGCCUGGGGAGUACGGCCGCAAGGCUAAAACUCAAAGGAAUUGACGGAUU
rnacentral:rRNA from 1 species